ensembl:lncRNA
GUGUGUGUGGUCUUAGUGAGGUGUGUGUAGGUGUGUGUAGUCUUAGUGAGGUGUGUGUAGUAUUAGUGAGGUGUGUGUAGUCUUAGUGAGGUGUGUGAGGUGUGUGUAGUAUUAGUGAGGUGUGUGUAGUCUUAGUGAGGUGUGUGUGUGUGUGUGUAGUCUUAGUGAGGUGUGUGUGUGUGUGUGUGUGUAGUCUUAGUGAGGUGUGUGUAGUCUUAGUGAGGUGUGUGUGUAGUCUUAGAGAAAUCUACAAGUCAACAAGUCUACAAGUCAGUAUUAGCCAGUACACGAGCGGUCAGUAUUGGCCAGCACACGAGCGGUCAGUAUUGGCCAGCACACGAGCGGUCAGCACACGAGCGGUCA